UACAGAGGGGGCAAGCGUUGUUCGGAAUUACUGGGCGUAAAGGGUUCGUAGGUGGCCAACUAAGUCAGACGUGAAAUCCCCCAGCUUAACUGGGGAACUGCGUCUGAUACUGGUAUGGCUUGAGUGCAGGAGAGGAACGCGGAAUUCCAGGUGUAGCGGUGAAAUGCGUAGAUAUCUGGAGGAACACCGGUGGCGAAGGCGGCGUUCUGGACUGCAACUGACACUGAGGAACGAAAGCCAGGGGAGCAAACGGG
rnacentral:rRNA from 1 species